UCCAGGUAAAAAAGAUUUACUGAUUUAUGUAACAAAAACAGAUCUUUUUUCUUUUCUUUAGCUAAAAUAAAUGUCUACUUCUUCAUACUCUUAAUGACAGUAUCAAAACGCUUCAUUGAGGACAGAUAUACACUGUAGAAGGAAUCUGUGGCGUGGAUAUUGAAGGGUCGUUCUCGUAACACACGAUGCUUCUCAAAGGGGUCUCGGUCACUGUAACACAGCACAGAUACACUGUAACACAGCACAGAUACACUGUAACACAGCACAGAUACACUGUAACACACAACAGAUACACUGUAACACAUAACAGAUACACUGUAACAGAUACACUGUAACAGAUACACUGUAACACAUAACAGAUACACUGUAACAGAUACACUGUAACAGAUACACUGUAACAGAUACACUGUAACACACAACAGAUACACUGUAACACACAACAGAUACACUAUAACACAGCACAGAUACACUGUAACACAGCACAGAUACACUGUAACACAGCACAUACACUGUAACACAGCACAGAUACACUGUAACACAGCACAGAUACACUGUAACACAGCACAGAUACACUGUAACACACAACAGAUACACUGUAACACAGCACAGAUACACUGUAACACAGCACAGAUACACUGUAACACAGCACAGAUACACUGUAACACAGCACAGAUACACUGUAACACAUAACAGAUACACUGUAACACACAACAGAUACACUGUAACACAGCACAGAUACACUGUAACACACAACAGAUACACUGUAACACAGCACAGAUACACUGUAACACAGCACAGAUACACUGUAACACAGCACAGAUACACUGUAACACAGCACAGAUACACUGUAACACAGCACAGAUACACUGUAACACAGCACAGAUACACUGUAACACAGCACAGAUACACUGUAACAGAUACACUGUAACACACAACAGAUGCACUGUAACACAUAACAGAUACACUGUAACAGAUACACUGUAACAGAUACACUGUAACACACAACAGAUGCACUGUAACACAUAACAGAUACACUGUAACACACAACAGAUACACUGUAACAGCUAACAGAUACACUGUAACAGAUACACUGUAACAGCUAACAGAUACACUGUAACAGCUAACAGAUACACUGUAACACGUAACAGAUAUGCUGUGACACAUAACAGUGAUUCUGUGGUCUAUCUUCUUGACGGAGUCUUGGACGGUACAGAACGAGUCUUCUUGGGCACCUUCUUACUGCCCUUAGCCUUUUUAGGGGGGUCUGACAAGGGGAGGGAGGGAGCGAGGGAGGAGGGGUUGGGUUUGCCGGUUGCCUCCCUCAGCAGAACGUUGGUGCGUUCGGUAGGAGGGGCUUCAGGGUCAACGACGAGUUGACAGAGGUCGUCUGGGUGAGGGGUCAUUGACGAUUGAGAAUCGCACAC
ensembl:lncRNA